GCUGCCGCCGUGGUGGCGGGAUGACAGGGGAGGGAAGGUGGCGCCGUCCAUGGAGUUGGCCCGUUUGACCUUUGAGGGGUUGACACGCCAUGACUUGGACCUCGGUGGAGGAGUCUGAGCCACGAGACACUUCUGGUACUGGACCUGACGGAGAGGAAAGGACUGUCAGAGGAAGUUAAUUCAUCUGUGUGAGCUGCUCGUCAUGUUUGGACAACUAGGGGCCAGAAGGACAACAGUCCCGUCAUCAUCUACCUCAGACCACCUGUGAUUCAUAUCGACGCAAUCAAUGAUCUAGAUGGUGUUCAGGCGUUGUCACUCACCAUACAUGCAGCCUGGACGGCCUCAGACAGGUUCCCUGCGUCCGGUUCACACCAGAACACGUGACACUCGAACUGCUGUGUGCCGCCAUCCACGAUCACCGCGAAGGUGUGGCUGUCGUGUCCGACGCCCAGGAAGAGACAGGAUGUUGUCAGUGACGUGGACGACGAUCGGCUCCCACUCGUCUCUGUCUGUUGAGUUCAUGAUGCUCUCUAUCGCUCGGUUCAGCACCUCCAUACCUGCACAAACACAGUAGACUGGAAAAAUGAUUUUUUUUCUGUCUUCAUCAUUCGUAUUUAUAGAAGCAAUUUUGAUAGUUGGCGUAUUACACAACAUAAAGUGGAAUGUAAUGUUGUGUGGUUUUACUGAGAGCUGUGGAUAAGACAGACAGUCGUUGUCGAUGCUCAGACAUUAAUGGUGUAACACGUGUGACUCUGUCCUACCCAUCGCUCUGGACACCGGCAGGUUACCGAUGUACUGGACCUGGAACUUCUGGACCUGCUGCCGGACCGCCUCCAGAAACUCGACUGAAACACAACGAAAAGGAGACGGAAUCAGCGGAGAGCCAAUCAGAGAGCAGCAAGGUGAUGUCAGAGAACAGACUGAGCAGGAGACUCACUGACCUUGGAGCACAUCUCAUGCAGCGCCGUGGCGAUGGCUUUGGCCGGAGCGUUGCAGCGAAACACGUGACACUUCAGCACACAGCUGUCUUUAUCACCCGCCACGAAGGCAAAAUCCCUGAAAAGACCACACACACACACACACACAGUGGAUUGGCUGAUGGGCAAUUGAUCAUGUGUCCAGCAGGUAAAACAAAAAAUGACCCUGACAUAUAAAAGGAGGGUGUGAGGAUGAGUCUGUGUCUGUGGCUCUGCAUGUGAACACGUAAAAGGGAGAGAGUUUUACCUGUCCCUGCCCGGGUGAAGGGGUAAAAGGGGGCGUGUUAAAGAAAAAGAGAGAGACAGUGUUAGUGCAAACAGACAGAGAGAAGAAAUGAAAGGUGAGGUCGAGUUUAACAUGCUGAAAGGUCGGAGGUUAGCCUAGCUUAGCGCAAAGACUGGAAGCAUGGGGGAGUUUUAGCAUAGUCAACAAGAGAGGAAAAAGAGAACACCCAUCCUCUUUCCAACAAUUCCAUAAGCUAUCAUACUAUGAUUUUGAAAUCUAAGUUAUUCUAUGUGAUGCUGUGUCUUUUAUCUGGACGUGAGUCUGGAGAGGUUUGAAUUUCUAAAUUACAAUAU